rnacentral:tRNA from 1 species
UGUUCUGUGGCUCCGGUCUAGCGAAUAUGGAGUCGUGGGUUCGAAUCCCAUCAGAACAA